rnacentral:rRNA from 1 species
AUUAAACUGAAGAGUUUGAUCAUGGCUCAGAUUGAACGCUGGCGGUAUGCUUAACACAUGCAAGUCGAACGGUAACAGCAAGAGCUUGCUCUUGGC